UGACAAAUCUGAAAAAGAUGAGGGUUUGG
rnacentral:piRNA from 1 species